rnacentral:rRNA from 1 species
GACGAACGCUGGCGGCGUGCUUAACACAUGCAAGUCGAACGGUGAAGCGCCUUCCUUUUUGGUGGGUGUGGAUGAGUGGCGAACGGGUGAGUAACACGUGAGUAACCUGCCCCCUUCUUCUAGAUAACCGCAUGAAAGUGUGGCUAAUACGGGAUAUUCUGGGUCUGUCGCAUGAUGGGUCUGGGAAAGAUAUUGUUUCGGUGGGGGAUGGGCUCGCGGCCUAUCAGCUUGUUGGUGGGGUGAUGGCCUACCAAGGCGGUGACGGGUAGCCGGCCUGAGAGGGUGGACGGUCACACUGGGACUGAGACACGGCCCAGACUCCUACGGGAGGCAGCAGUGGGGAAUAGUGCACAAUGGGCGCAAGCCUGAUGCAGCGACGCCGCGUGAGGGAUGGAGGCCUUCGGGUUGUGAACCUCUUUCGCCAGUGAAGCAGGCCUGCCUCGUUUGUGGGUGGGUUGACGGUAGCUGGAUAAGAAGCGCCGGCUAACUACGUG